AUUCGAAGGGAACUUUGUUUAGUUCUGGGUGUGGACAAAGCAAUUAACAAACUUUCUGGCUAAUUGGUGUCCAUUAAGUGUUGGUCUAUGGGGGAAAAGAAACGAAGCCUUCUGUUCAGAAACUGUGCUCGGAGUUUGCUAAGCAAGAACAAUCACAAGAUUCCCAAGGCGUUCAAACAAUCCGCCUGCUCUCGGCAAUAUUGGCUACCAGGAGCAAAGAGAAGAUCCUUCAUGAGUUCCCUGGGUCUGUCAAUUUAGACGAGGGGGCUGAGAAACUACCCUCCUUUCCUCAGAUAAUG